CUACAGAGUAGGUCGCAAUUUUUGAAAGGAAAAUGUAAAUGGUAGUUUUCUCGUGGAUCUUGUUGCCUAGUUGCUUUGAUAAAGGAGGAGGUAUGUUUUAUGAUUGUUUAUAUGUUUUUCUUUACAAUGUCAGAUUCACCAUGUAAAACUUAAACUUAAAAGUAUGUAGAAAGGGAGUCUUCAAAGAACAACGUUCUAUAAAAAAAAAACCUGACCAAAUAAGACACGUUUGAUAUUGCGUAAGAUAUUGCCAUAACAUGGCGUCUAUCAACUUCGUUGUCGUCGUCUAUCGAAAACGUUUACAAAGAUCUCCUACUCUGAAUCAAAAGACCGAUUUCAAUAAAAUUUGGUAAGUUUGAUCAGCCAGCAUAACCACCAUGUCUGCAAAUCAACAGUAAGUACACAAGAAACUAAAAUUAAAAAUAAUACAAGACUAAUAUUGAUCAGAGGCUCUUGACAUCGGACAGGCGCAAAAAUACGGCGGGGUUAAACAUGUUUAUGAGAUCUCAACCCUCCCCCUAUACCUCCAGCCAAUGUAGAAAAGUAAAAGCAUAAAAAUACGCACAUUAAAAUUCAGUUCAAGAGAAGUCCGAGUCUGAUGUCAGAGGAUAUAACUACAGAAAAUAAACAUAAUAACAAUAAUACAUAAAAAAAAACAGACUGCUAGCAGUUAACUGACAUGCUGCUCAGAUUCAAUUAAACUGAUUGAAAUUAUGUCUCGUCAUAUGAAUAGAGGCACAUCCUUCUGUUAGGGGUUUAGAAUCAUACCAUCAUAACAUAUAUGAGAAGAACAUAACCCGUGUCAUGCCAACUUUUUUUUUAAAUGUGUUAAGUUCCGAUGCAAAGACCCUAUAAGUGAAUCAAUAUUAACGCCAAAACAUCAAUCGUUAAUAACCUGACAACAGUAUCGUAACUAUAUCCCUUCUAAAUAAGUUUAUUUAAAGGUUUUGUUAGCUUCUGACGUGAUUCUGACAUUUUUUUGCUUUAUAAAGAAUAUAUAUAUAUAUAUAAAUUGGACCGACAAACCAAUCAAAAGCCAUGGAAUAUAUUUUGGAUAUGACAAAAAAAGAGUGUCAAACUUUAAAUAUUGACAUUUAUUGAAUUUCUAAAUUAUUUAAAAAUCAGAAAACAAGUUAUAUGGGGAAAUAAUAAAUUCAUAAAAUGUCAAGGAAAAUGUUUGUCCUUUGAUAACUGAAUUGAUAGUAACAUACUAUUUACAAAUGACGUAAUAGAUAAAAGAGGAAAUAUAUCAGAAGAAAUGAUUACUCAAAAUUAAGAAUAAAAGGAAUUGGAUUUCUGAAUACUCAAAACUAAAAAAAUCUUUACCAAACAAUGACAGACCAAUUAAAAUCAGAAAAUCAUUCAAAAACAAAAGUCCAUACAACCGAACAAAACUAAACUAAGAAGAUUGUAAUGAUGUUCUAACUAUUAAUGCUAAAAACAUAUACAAAUUAGUAUUGAGUAUGUCAAAAACAGAAAUACAAGUAGGAUUUUUGAAAUGGGAGAGAGUCUUAAGCAAAGGGAGACUAAUAAAUAACUCAUCAUAGAUACCAGGACUAAAUUUAGUACAUACGCCAGACGCGCGUUUCGUCUACAAAAGACUCAUCAGUGACGCUCGAAUCUAAAAAAAUUAAAAGGCCAAAUAAAGCACGACACGGUACUUAUCUGGGUUAAAUCAAUAACAAAUUUAAUGAAGAUUGAAAGCGCAACUAUGAGAAAGAUAUUUACACUCCAACUUACCUCUUCGCAAUAUUAUUUAAUUUCAAACCACAUCGCAAUUAAUAAUCCAAAUUCUCGAAACACUUCAAAACAUAUUGUCCAAACACGAGGAACAGAAAAGUCGUGUGAGGUCACUUGACCGCAAUUCGUUUCUGAUUAGAUAAUAAAAGAACCCCAAAAGUCAUUCCGAAUGAAUGAUCAAUUUCCGUAAAAAAAUUAUUGUGUUGAUAUUUUUUAUGAAAACAUCUGAAACUACUUUUUGUGAAGUAGCAAAGACUAUUUGUAACAACUAUAAUAAUAGUUUAAUGUGUUAAUUAAAACAAUGUAAUUUAUUAGUUAAUUUUACUGAAUAUUAUCCUGGGAUUCAGUGGUAAUUUAACAGGGAAACUUGAUGAAAUGCUGUACACCAAGUUUAAUUGUUAAACAGCAAUAUGUGCAAUAAAGAAUCAAUUAGAGUGUUUAAAAAAAAAGAAUAUUUCCAUAAAAAAAAUUGAAUAUGUAAUUCCUAAACGUAUAAGUAUGUUCAAGGUUUGUUGAAUAAGCGUUUUAUUUUGGCAAUGUGGUUAGUUUGUUCAGUUAGCAGUUGAUGUGUUCUCUUUAAUUAGGUCUGUUGGUUGGUUGUGAUUGUCUGUGCAGGUUGUUGCUAUAGGACUGGGUAUUUUUGUAUUACUGUUAAAGUUUUUUUUCAAUUAGUUGUGACUAUGGUUGUUGGCGUUUGUUGAAAUAACAUUUCACGUUCCCAUUUUGGUAUGUAUUUUUAGUUGGUGAUUGACUGCUUGUACUGUUAAAAUAAUGCUGUCUUUGUCUGUGUAAAUUUUGUUUUGUUGGUGGUGACUGUGUAUGUUGAUGUUUGUCAAUUGGUUGUUGAAAUGCCAGUGAAAGGUUUCUUUAUGGUUUACGCGGACAUACAUAUGGCCAUUUAAGCUUUGAAAUAACUGCAGUUUUCCAGCUGGUUAAUAAGUAAUAGCACGUAGUUGGAUAAUUUAUUUUGUAAAUUUCACAUCCAAAGUGAUUUAAGAUCAAAUAGUUCAAGCACAGAUAUUCAGUGUUGAGUCUUAUCAGAUGAUGUUACUAUUGCGCAAAGGAGGUUUGUGGUUAUGACAUUAUGAAUAUAUCUAAAGUCAGCUGUAACAUGUGUGUUCUGUAACGAUAUACCAACUCGACAUAUGCGGACUGAAUGACUUCAACUUUUUUACUAAUAAUCACAGGUUCAACAUACGCCUUCACUAUCAUCAAUGCUUCCGAAUCAAUAUCUUGAAAACAAAACGACAUCCAAAGUUCAACUUUUUCAAAAUAUAUAAACGUUGUAGGAGAAGACAGAAUAUAGGGUAUCCAUCUAUUAUAACACACAGUCAGCGCAUGCACUGCAAAAAAAUGAACAGCGCUUUAAUUGCUGAUCUUCAUCUCAAAGUUACAGCGAAAUCUUUAUCACGGAACCAAAAUAAAUCUCGCCUUACUGCAAAUUUUACAUGGUCCUAAGCAUAAUUGAAUUCUCUGAAAUUAUUCAGAUAGACUUUGUUACCAAAUCCGGCCCGGUCAAAAAGAACAAAUUGAAAGUAAGACAUAUUUAUAAAGAAUUUAAUGUAAAGAACUACUGAUCCUUGUGGAACACAUUUCGACUGAUCAGUUUUAGUAAUACACAAAAUAAUGAGUUGAUUUGAGCUGUUCUUCCUCACAACUCUGUUAAAGCAUUGGUUUGUAACUGUGUAAGGAGUACACUCCUGAAAACGUUCAUUCAGUCGUCAGCGUUUCACUCUGUGGUUAAAGUUUUUGAAAUUCUAAUAACUUUCGUAAACUGUCCUUGAUUUGUACCAAACUUGAACUGAGCUUUUUUUAUGAUCAUAAAAUAGCGUCCAGAAAAUUGGUUUGUUAAACAAAAUAUUAUGUUUACCCGUAUUUAACUGAUAAAUGGACAUAGUAGUUCUGCCAUUUAACAUUACAUUCAGUCUGUGGUUAAAGUUUUUUAAAUAUUAAUAACUUUCUUAACCUAUCCUGGAUUCGUACCAAACUUGGACAGAAGCUUGUUUAUGAUCAAAGGCUAGUAUCUAGAAGGAAAUUUUGUAAAAAUAUUUUUACUUUUUUUCAAGUUGUUUCUUAAUUAUUUUCGUAAUUUUCCUCCAGUAGGUUAACCAUAACAUGAAUUAUGUAAAACCUAGCAUUAAAUGAUCCGAAAAUAUGUUAAAUGUUUCAUGCACCUUGCCUUAAAAAAUUAAAUUAAUAAUUCUUAUAAAAUAUAUCUGGUCCCUGAAACAUAUCUCAAAAAUAGACAUGCAUGCAGAUGUAAUUUGUUUUUAAUCAUGAACAAAUAAAAUACUUUUUCCCGGUUUGUUUAUAACAAGCCAUCAUUGUUAUAGAAAUGUUACAUGUAUGUUAUAGAAAUGUUACAUUUCAGGUACGUUUCAGUAUCAAAUCAUUUCAUAAAAUAAUGUAAGAUUUGUUUGACACUAUCAUUAUGAAGUUUUGAUGAUCUUACAGAUAUUACAUACAUAAUACAGAGGUGUCCCCCAUAAAUUCCAAACAUAAAUUAUUACCCUUAUAAAUGUAAAAUAAGAGAUGAAAGAAAAUUUUGUCAUACUUUAUACUAUGAGACUAUUUGUUAGAUAAACUUAUUGCAGUCUUACUUAUAUGCUGCUUAUUUAUAUUAUUCUUAUCUAAACAUUAAAAAAUGACAAAUAACUUGCAUGAUACUUUAUUUAAGUUGAAUUAAUUUUUUGUAUUGAAUUAUUAUUGAAUAUAAUGAGUCAAGACACGUUUUAGGUCAUUUUUUAUCAUCUGUAUGAUCUCUGAAUAUUUACGAAAUUCAAUGAGUAGUUACUUAAGGUCCAUAAAUAAUUCACUAAAAUUAAAAUUAUGAAAGCAACCAUUAUUUAGGUUAUGCUUAAACCGGAUAGCAUCUGCCAAUUUAGUUAAGUAUCAUAAAGCUGAAUGGUGCCCCUGGUGUACUAAGUUAUUAUUCUGGUAUCUUUAACGAGUUUUUAUUGUAUUCCGUGUCUUCAAAACCAGGCUUUGAAGAAAUUGAGAUGUUAUAUUUUAAAAGCAUAAUAUGGACCCCUUUCCCUCAAAGCAAUUGACAUUUUAGCUUUAUUUAAUCUCUUCGCUACAAUUGUUCUUGAAUACACACAUAUCAGUGUACCAUCUUGCAAUAGAUAAAUACAACCAAGAUUCUUUCUGAUGGAAGUAAACCCAAUUUUGAAACAAUUUAAAAGAGGGACGAAAGAUACCAAAGGAACAGUCAAACUCAUAAAUCCAAAACAAACUGACAACGCCAUGGCUAAAAAUGAAAAAGACAAACAGAAACAAUAUACACACGACACAACAUAGAAACUAAGAAUAAACAACACGAACCCACCAAAAACUAGAGUGAUCUCAGGUGCUCGGAAGGGUAAGCAAUCCUGCUCCACAUGUGGCACCCGUCGUGUUGCUUAUGUUGAUUACAAAUCCGGUAAAUAGUCUAAUUCGGUAGUCAUAUUCAUGAAAGGGAAGGGGAUUGUAGUUACGACGUAGGCAUAUCCUAUCAUUUGUGAAACGGUAUUCCAUAACGGUCAACCAACGUGAUGGCAUCGUAAAUUUACGAAGGGAUGAUUUCAACUUCACCAUUGAAACUCUUGGUUUAAUAGCUUCCUUGUGAGCAGCAACCCUUUAUCAGAAAAUCAUGAUAGAAAUGCAAGCACGGGAAAUAUAUCAAUUGGGAGAUAUACCCCGUAUCCAGGUGCUGCGAAAUGUUGCUAGAAAUGAAAAUGCACAAUUGGAAAGGUGAAAUCAUCUCCUUUGUCGUAAAGUUUUGUUUUCAACCGACCCUCAUUGUCAAUUUCUAGAUGUAAGUCAAGAUAUGAAGCUAAACGUCAUUUGACAGCUACUUUUGCAUCAUUCUAUCUUCAAAAUCUUACAAUCAAUAUAAACAAAAAUUUCAUGUAUUGAAUAUUUGCUGCUUACAUUUCAUUUUAUUUAUUGAUAUUUUCAAUAACAAUGAGUAACAAAUGAAAUUUUUUGAAUGCACAGGACUCAUGACAAGUAAAUUUGUUCCACAACCAGGGUCCAGUUACUUAUUUCAUUUCACGGUGUCAAUCUGUGCUAACUUUUACCUUUUAUGAUUAUUUUCUAUGUAUAUGUUAACUAUAUUUUGUCUAUAGUCUAUAGAUUUAGUGUAAAAUAUGAUCAAAUAUUGUCUAAUCGAAAAUUUGAAAUUGACCAAUCUUUUAAAUUAUAAAUGUGUGCUAUUGUAUUUGUUUGUUUCAUUAACGCGUUUUAUUUUGCUGUGUCUCAAAAUACAAUCUUUAGGCUGUUAGUACAUGCGUAUUUCUUUAACAUUAUUUUCAUAAUUUACAGUUUAUCGUGGAAUUACAAAGCAGUAUGUGAGAAAAUUCUAAAAAGCAGUACCAAUAAGUAAGGAGUCGGUUCUGAACAUUAUUUUAACUGGAUUAGCAAGAGGGCAGAUGAAAAAUUUUGAGAAAUAAUUUCCAUUGGAACUAUCAG
rnacentral:lncRNA from 1 species